AWUCCCGUAUAACACAGAAAACCGCAUGGUUUUCUUUUAAAAGAUGGCUCUGCUAUCACUUCUGGAUGGACCCGCGGCGUAUUAGCUAGUUGGUGAGGUAAAGGCUCACCAAGGCAGAUGAUACGUAGCCGACCUGAGAGGGUAAUCGGCCACAUUGGGACUGAGACACGGCCCAGACUCCUACGGGAGGCAGCAGUAGGGAAUCUUCCACAAUGGACGMAAGUCUGAUGGAGCAACGCCGCGUGAGUGAAGAAGGGUUUCGGCUCGUAAAGCUCUGUUGUUAAAGAAGAACGUGGGUAAGAGUAACUGUUUUCCCAGUGACGGUAUUUAACCAGAAAGCCACGGCUAACUACGUGCCAGCAGCCGCGGUAAUACGUAGGUGGCAAGCGUUAUCCGGAUUUAUUGGGCGUAAAGCGAGCGCAGGCGGUUUUUUAAGUCUAAUGUGAAAGCCUUCGGCUCAACCGAAGAAGUGCAUUGGAAACUGGGAGACUUGAGUGCAGAAGAGGACAGUGGAACUCCAUGUGUAGCGGUGAAAUGCGUAGAUAUAUGGAAGAACACCAGUGGCGAAGGCGGCUGUCUGGUCUGCAACUGACGCUGAGGCUCGAAA
rnacentral:rRNA from 1 species